rnacentral:rRNA from 1 species
GAUGAACGCUGGCGGCGUGCUUAACACAUGCAAGUCGAACGGAAAGGCCAGUGCUUGCACUGGUACUCGAGUGGCGAACGGGUGAGUAACACGUGGGUGAUCUGCCCUGUACUUCGGGAUAAGCUUGGGAAACUGGGUCUAAUACCGGAUAGGACAACUUUUUGGAUAUUGUUGUGGAAAGCUUUUGCGGUAUGGGAUGAGCUCGCGGCCUAUCAGCUUGUUGGUGGGGUAAUGGCCUACCAAGGCGUCGACGGGUAGCCGGCCUGAGAGGGUGUACGGCCACAUUGGGACUGAGAUACGGCCCAGACUCCUACGGGAGGCAGCAGUGGGGAAUAUUGCACAAUGGGCGCAAGCCUGAUGCAGCGACGCCGCGUGGGGGAUGAAGGCCUUCGGGUUGUAAACUCCUUUCGCUAGGGACGAAGCGUAAGUGACGGUACCGGGAGAAGAAGCACCGGCUAACUACGU